rnacentral:lncRNA from 1 species
GAUAGGUUGCUUAUCCCUUGGAUUCUACCAAUUGCCUUUCUUGAAGGACUUUUCCUGCUUGGGACAAAUAUAAACACACACAAGCAUUGCCUCUUAAGGAGGACUUCAGACAGUUGCCUGGCCAAAUAACAGGCCAGGUCUUCCAGACUACAUGAAGAAAAGGGAUUAUACCUCAAAUGCAAAUUGCUAAAUAGCAAAGCAAAGCAAGUUCAAAGAACUAAGCAACUAAUGGUACCUGAAAUAGUC